UACGGGGGGAGCAAGCGUUGUUCGGAUUUACUAGGCGUAAAGGGUGCGUAGGCGGUCGGGUAAGUCUGAUGUGAAAUCUCACAGCUUAACUGUGAAACUGCAUUGGAUACUAUCCGGCUCGAGGAAUGGAGGGGAGACUGGAAUACUUGGUGUAGCAGUGAAAUGCGUAGAUAUCAAGUGGAACACCAGUGGCGAAGGCGAGUCUCUGGACAUUUCCUGACGCUGAGGCACGAAAGCCAGGGGAGCAAACGGG
rnacentral:rRNA from 1 species